GACGAACGCUGGCGGCGUGCUUAACACAUGCAAGUCGAACGGAAAGGCCCUGCUUUUGUGGGGUGCUCGAGUGGCGAACGGGUGAGUAACACGUGAGUAACCUGCCCUUGACUUUGGGAUAACUUCAGGAAACUGGGGCUAAUACCGGAUAGGAGCUCCUGCUGCAUGGUGGGGGUUGGAAAGUUUCGGCGGUUGGGGAUGGACUCGCGGCUUAUCAGCUUGUUGGUGGGGUAGUGGCUUACCAAGGCUUUGACGGGUAGCCGGCCUGAGAGGGUGACCGGCCACAUUGGGACUGAGAUGCGGCCCAGACUCCUACGGGAGGCAGCAGUGGGGAAUAUUGCACAAUGGGCGGAAGCCUGAUGCAGCAACGCCGCGUGCGGGAUGACGGCCUUCGGGUUGUAAACCGCUUUCGCCUGUGACGAAGCGUGAGUGGCGGUAAUGGGUAAAGAAGCACCGGCUAACUACGUG
rnacentral:rRNA from 1 species